GACUCUCGGCAACGGAUAUCUUGGCUCUUGCAUCGAUGAAGAACGUAGCGAAAUGCGAUACUUGGUGUGAAUUGUAGUCUUUGAACACAAGUUAUGCCCGAAGCCAUUAGGCCGAGGGCACGCCUGCCUGGAUGUUG
rnacentral:rRNA from 1 species